AAGGGGCGCUCGCUCGCGUGAGACAGAACGCCCAGCCCCCCGUUCCCCUUUCCCCUCCUCGAUUCCUCUUCCCCUCCCUAUCCCUCUUCCUCGUUUACCGCCGCCACCACUAGCCGGAGCCCUCCGCCAUAGCCGCCGCCACCAGCGCCCUCCCCAAAAGCCUGCAACCCACUCCUCUCUCCUCCGCUCACCUUAUUCCCACCAACGGCGAGCUCCUCCCCAAAGCCAUGGUGUGAGCGAGGAGGCGACAGGUCCGGAGACUACCUCCUGGAUCAGGAGGAGAAAGAGAAGCCUAGGGGCAAAAUUAUGCGUCUUAGCAGUGGCUCGAGCGAUGUAGGACGGUGACGAGCGAGCGGCUUCUACAGGCGGUGGGAGCGGUGGUGGGCAUGGCUUGGGGACCUGCGCUUGCGUCAACCGACGGCGAGCACGGCUGCUGCCAACCAGCCAAGAUGAGUCACAUGGCGACGCUCGAGAAGGUGAUGUCUGGCAGGGAUCAACACACUCUUUGCCACCCAGUACGGCCUGCCCAUGGUUGAUGGCAAGGGCAGGUGCAUUGGGUUGUCUCCAAGAAGCACAAGGCCAGGGCAUUGGGUAACCCGGUGCAACUGCUGUUCCCCAAUGAGUUCUUUGUCAUAGAAUGACCUUUUGGUAGCAGUACUGAAUAAUAAAAAAAUUGUUGCUGUUUGCGCGUCUCCGUCGUCCCUCACUCUUGCGUUUCUUUCAAUCGACUGGGCACGACGGUGGGUGAGGCGGGAUAGGUGGCACUGGGGCGCAGUGGAGUGGCUAGGCGAGAAUGUCUCGGCAGGGGACGGCGACCAUCGCAUCCGCUGAUAUGUUCACCAUCAUCAUUUAUAUGUAAUCUCAAAAACAAAGAAAUGCAUCCAGAUCUUGCAGGUUACACCAGGUUCUGUAGCUAUUAUUAUAUCUGUAAUUUCUACCUUUCAUGUAAUUUAUCACCAUUUAAUUACUAUAUGUGAUAGAUAUUUCUCUACUUAUUUUUAUCUUAUAUGAUGUGUUGUUCUACCUACGUAUGUUGCAUUCAGAGUACCGUUAGUUCUUGUAUGCUUGCAUCUUUGAUUGCGUAGACAUGCAGAGUGUCCUUUAAAUUUCUGUUAUUAUAGUUGGGAGGGUUACUCCUCAUUCUGGAGCCCCAAGUCAGAUUGAUAGAUUUUAUAUAUGUAAACAUUGAUGACCAUAUCAGUACCUUUGCCACUAUCUCUCUUUUGUUUGUGUAUUCCUACAGCCUGAUCAGCUUCAAAUACCUACUCUGACAGACAAUUCACGGUAAACUCGAUUAUUAACAUCCCUAUUCAUUGCAUUAAUUAUUUAUUUCUAGAGAUUUCUUUCUCAUAGCUGUUAUAUUCUUCCUUGCCCAUAAAUUAUUAUUUUGUUUAAUGAUAUCAAGCAUUCUUAUCUGGUAGAUCAGGCUAGUGACAAUGGCCAUCUGGAUGAGCAGGGGCAUGAUCUUUACAAUGAAGCACAAAGUUUGUCAGACAUUCUUGAUAAAGAGUCGAUAUAUCUAACUAUCUAAGCUACCGUUUAUGAAGUUACAAGAUGGUGAAAAUAUGCAGAAUGAUAUUUCAGUGGAUGAAGUGCUAGAAGAACCAGGAAGUUACUAGCAUCAAAAGGAAAAGAGAGCAAGGGGAUCUCAAACGUGUAAAAUCAUAUUGCCCAGUUAGAGAUUCCUAGGAGUUGUUUGUGCUAUUUUUUUAAGAUUACAUUGGUGAGUCGCUUUUUUCUUUUCUCUCUAAGGGUAUGUUUCAAUAUGCAGCCUUUUGCUGUAUCAACAUUUUUUGUAAUCUUUCUAUUUCUGUAUAUUUAUGAGACCAUUUAUUUCAUUCUACAAUUAUGCUCC